rnacentral:misc_RNA from 1 species
AAGUCGUAACAAGGUUUCCGUAGGUGAACCUGCGGAAGGAUCAUUAACACGUAUCCAAACGUUAAAACCCCCCCCGUGAACCUUCAUCCUGCUCUUGUAACCCGCAUAGUUCGCAAUCUCUGAUAAAUCAUAGCCCGGAAAGUUGUAGUGAUUCAGUAGUUCUAUAGGCAAUGUUUCCCCAAGCAGUCAGUGUCGGAAAGUGUCAUUGAUUGUGCAAGGAUAGCGCUUCUACGAUUCCUGUAGACCGUACACUCGGGCAGGAGCUUUGACAAAGGGUCCCCAUGCCCCCUAAUAACCCCACAGUUUAAUGUGAAGCUCAAUGUAAUACAUUGGGUAAAAAAACCGAACAACUGUUAACAAUGGAUAUCUUGGUUCUC